rnacentral:rRNA from 1 species
AUGAUUCUUCGUUCAUUAUCAUGUCGAUUCCUCACAAUCGCUCUUUAUGAUGCUGCGGAACCAUGGCAAUUAGGAUCUCAAGACGCAGCAACACUUAUGAUAAAAGGAAUCAUUGACUUACAUCACGAUAUCUUUUUCUUCCUCAUUCUUAUUUUGGUUUUCAUAUCACGGAUGUUGGUUCGCGCUUUAUGGCAUUGCAACGAGAAAACUAAUCCAAUCCCACAAAGUAUUGUUCAUGGAACUACUAUCGAAAUUAUUCGGACCAUAUUUCCAAGUGUCAUUCUUUUGUUCAUUGCUAUACCAUCAUUUGCUCUGUUAUACUCAAUGGACGGGGUAUUAGUAGAUCCAGCCAUUACUAUCAAAGCUAUUGGACAUCAAUGGUAUCGGAUCAAGUUUGGGGGGAGAACUACCUAA